UACGGGGGGAGCAAGCGUUGUUCGGAUUUACUGGGCGUAAAGGGCGCGUAGGCGGCGUGACAAGUCACUUGUGAAAUCUCCGGGCUUAACCCGGAGCGGCCAAGUGAUACUGUCGUGCUAGAGUGCGGAAGGGGCUACUGGAAUUCUCGGUGUAGCGGUGAAAUGCGUAGAUAUCGAGAGGAACACCUGCGGCGAAGGCGGGUUGCUGGGCUGACACUGACGCUGAGGCGCGAAAGCUAGGGGAGAGAACGGG
rnacentral:rRNA from 1 species